GGCGAUUCAAGAUUGAUGUGCGUAAGAUUAGGUAGUUGGUGAGGUAACGGCUCACCAAGCCGACGAUCUUUAGGGGGCGUGAGAGCGUGGUCCCCCACACGGGUACUGAGACACGGACCCGACUCCUACGGGAGGCAGCAGUAAGGAAUAUUGGUCAAUGGGCGAAAGCCUGAACCAGCCAUCCAGCGUGCAGGAAGAAGGCCCUAUGGGUUGUAAACUGCUUUUGUCAGGGAAUAAACCUGUGGAUUUAUCCGCAGCUGAAGGUACCUGAAGAAUAAGCACCGGCUAACUCCGUGCCAGCAGCCGCGGUAAUACGGAGGGUGCGAGCGUUAUCCGGAAUUACUGGGUUUAAAGGGUGCGUAGGCGGCCAUGUAAGUCAGGAGUGAAAGUUUGCGGCUCAACCGUAAAAUUGCUUUUGAUACUGCAUGGCUGGAAUCAGGAUGAGGUCAGCGGAAUGUGGCAUGUAGCGGUGAAAUGCAUAGAUAUGCCAUAGAACACCAAUUGCGAAGGCAGCUGGCUAGACCUGUAUUGACGCUGAGGCACGAAAGCGUGGGGAGCGAACAGGAUUAGAU
rnacentral:rRNA from 1 species